GUUUGCUGGGUAGUCUCAGAGUUACUGCUGUGCAGCUUUGUAGUUCCACUCAAUCUGAAUGGUUUUACAAAAAUAAACAUUUAAAGAGCAUUAAGGUGACGGUUUCUGAGCUGUUUUAAAUUUCUACAAUCAUCAGAAGAUCUUCAGAGAACAUCUUCUGAAGCUUUCCUGAAGAUUCUGUUUUCUGGGCUGUUUAAAAAUGUGUGAAAGUAAACUUCAGGGAACACUCCCCAAAGGUUGCUGUUUACUAGAAGUGUUUCCUGCUGUCCCCGUUCUCUGGAAAGCUACUAAUAAAACACCCCUAAGGACUUACAGAGGGGCCGGGACAUGGAAGGAUUAAGCAGAAACGCAUGGAUUCCCGGCAGAAGGCUUGAUAACCUCCUACUUGCGGGAAAAGCGCUGCCUUCCUCCCGUAUUUUACACCGAAGCCGUGCGCUGCUCCCUGCAGGGUUUCUACGGGAGAAAGAUGGAUCAGACACGCAGGAAAGAUGCAUCAGAUCGCCUCAGAAAUCAAACCAUCAUGACGUACUCUGGACAUUAUAGUGCACGAUAUCAAUAUUUAACGACAUUUUAUCCACCUAUAGCCUAAAAAGUGGGGAUAAUAAAGGAGAAGUGCACUAGUUCUGCACAUAAAGUUCAGUUUGUUCAUCAAGAAUGUGAAAACAUCUAUUAUAUUAUUAUAUUGUUUUUACAAAGUAACUCUGGGAUGAUGCCUUUAGGGUUCAACAUGAAAUAUCCGACUAUUCAAAAUAAAC
ensembl:lncRNA